CUCCACCACCAUGAGGCUCUUGGAAGCUGUGUGUUUGUGUGUGCGUGCUGGCCGCGAUGAAUUUGAGUGAAAAGAAUGCAGUUAUUGCAAGUGAAGAUUAGCCGUUCGAGGAUUCAGGUGGAUCUGUCUUGAUUCUUCCGGUAUCCUCGAAAGGAUUUCAGUGGGUGGGGGUCUGUCCUGGUGCUGAAUUUGCUCUGAUGGAGAAGAUACGGAUGUUGGGGGGUUGGGAUUGUUGAGGUUGCCGAGUUGCAGUAGAAUUUCUCGGGGUUCGGCCAUGCCUUUCAGUCUGUUUUCUAUGCCACCAUGUACUCGCUCAAGACGUACGUGAGGUUUCUCUCGAAAGUAUGGCAGUUUGUGGGGUGUAAUGUAGCUGGUUCCCCAGUGACGGGUCCUUUCUGAGGCGAAAGCUUGAACCCGUCUGGUGGGUGAUAUUCCUUUGUUGAGAACCUUGAGUUGCAAUACUGUCAUGGAGAUUGAAUCUGCCCAUUCUUCCCGUCCCAUGGCGAAGGUCGCUGCUGAAGAGAUGGAAUCCGAGAUUGAGAGAUUAUUGCCUGGACGGCACUCGGAUGUUGGAGGUAUUGAACAGGAAAUGCCGAGGAGGUUUGCUUUGAGUCAUGAUUUUGCCGAGGUUGGAGGCAAAUCGCAUUUCCGGGUUGAAGCCAGAGAUGGAGAGAUGGAGAAUUGGAGUAGGCUCGUUCACUGUCUGUAUUGGAGCCAUUUUCUUUCCCGCUGGGGAGACAGGAUGUGGGAGUUUGCGGUGGGCUUAUUUAUGAUUCAAGUGUGGCCCAAUUCACUACUACUCGUUGCUAUCUAUGGUCUUGUGGAAACUGCUUCUGUAGCUACUCUUGGUGUUCUUGUUGGGAAUCUGGUGGAUAAAUGUCCCCGGCUGAGGAUGGUGCAGUUUUCAUUGGGUAUACAAAAUGGAUCUGUUGUAGCAGCUGGUUUGGCUGUCGUCAUGCUCUUGCUCCAUCCAUGGGCUACCCCAGGAGGAUUCAGUGUCUUUGUGAUGCUGGUUGUUAUUGUGAAUGUAUUCGGUGCAAUCAGCGCACUUGCAGGAAUGGCUAUGGAUGUAGUGGUGGAGCGCGACUGGGUAGUUUUGAUUGCGGAGAAGCAAGCACCAGGAUCAUUGACAAAAAUUAAUUCAGUCAUGCGCCGUAUAGAUCUCAGUUGCAAACUCCUAGCUCCAAUAGUCGUUGGUUUCAUGAUGAGUUCCGUGUCGGUGCUCGCAAGUCCUGUUUUGAUCGCGGUAUGGAACAUUAUUUCGGUCGGGAUUGAAUACUGGCUUCUCCAUCAUGUGUACGUUUCCAUGCCCGCCUUGCAACAGAAGAGCACCGCACACCAAGCUUACCAAGCCUCAAGCCAGUUUGCAGAGUCAAACGCUGAAGAAGUGGAAUUGAGCGUCUUUGAGAGAGACAAUAUGUCUCAGAUGGAGGGCCACGAAGAAGUAAGCCUACUGAAAAAUACAGGCCAACAGACCACAUCCCGACAGUCUACCUUUCUCAAUAAGCUGAAGAAGCUACCGGUGAUUGAAGGUUGGGUCACUUACAUGCACCAGGAAGCCGUGCUAGCAGGACUGGCUCUUGCAGUUCUCUACUUUACUGUAUUGAGGAUUACGUGGGCGUGGGCGGUGCAGCUUUGGAUCAUUGAUGUCGGCAUUUCUGAGUUGGAGAGGCAUUCCUCCUUAUGUGUUAGGACUUGCUCGUGGUGUAGCAGCAAUGAUGGGAAUUUUAGCCACAUUCAUCUUCCCAAUUGUACAUGCUCGCCUUCAAACUGUUCGCACGGGCAACUGGUCCAUUUGGAUCCAGUGGUCGUUGCUGUCAGUAUGCGUUGUUUCCGUAUGGAUCCACAACUCAAAAGUGGCCUCACUUCUGCUGAUUAGUGGCGUGGCAGCGUCACGUCUUGGUCUGUGGUUGUUUGAUCUAUCAGUGACUCAGCUCAUGCAGGAGUCUGUGCCAGUGGCAGAAAGAGGAGUGGUUGGUGGCGUGCAGAGGUCCUUGCAAUCCCUAAUGGACAUGUUAACUUACGCUGUUGGCAUGGUGAUUGUUCGUCCACAGGACUUUGGCAUCACCAUUUGCAUGUCAUACGGAGCUGUUUUGACAUCUGCCUUGCUUUACUCAAUGCACGUUUACCGUGUCCGAGGUCAUCUUUUCCACUUUGAUCGCCUUCUACGGCCCAGAUGGAUACACAACACCUAGGUACGAAGGAGAAUUGUAUUUAUUGAUUUCCAAGAGCUUCUGCUCAUCUAGUUCAAUCUUAUUUAAGUCGAUACUUGUAGCUGCGCACCCCUUGUCGGGAGAAUAGCGCAAAAAAUGAGUCUGUAGUUGGAUGAACCGAUGAUGAAACGGGGAGAAGGUGCGUCAUAAAUACAAUGUCUGCUGGUUUAGUUUUAGCGCUUUGGGGAAAGGUACAAAGAGACCGCAGCUCCAUUUAUUGUGGUGCUCUAUCAUCACUGGUUACAUUAAUUCAUUACUUGUAGUAUGAGGGGUCAUGGAGGCUGUAUGUUUAUAUUA